CAGUCGAACGAUGAUGCUGGAGCUUGCUCCAGUUGAUUAGUGGCGAACGGGUGAGUAACACGUGAGCAAUCUGCCCUUGACUCUGGGAUAACUGCGGGAAACUGUAGCUAAUACCGGAUACUUUCACCGGAGGGCAUCUUCUGGUGAUGAAAGAAUUUCGGUCAGGGAUGAGCUCGCGGCCUAUCAGCUUGUUGGUGAGGUAACGGCUCACCAAGGCGACGACGGGUAACCGGCCUGAGAGGGUGACCGGUCACACUGGGACUGAGACACGGCCCAGACUCCUACGGGAGGCAGCAGUGGGGAAUAUUGCACAAUGGGCGCAAGCCUGAUGCAGCAACGCCGCGUGAGGGAUGAAGGCCUUCGGGUUGUAAACCUCUUUUAGCAGGGAAGAAGCGAAAGUGACGGUACCUGCAGAAAAAGCACCGGCUAACUACGUGCCAGCAGCCGCGGUAAUACGUAGGGUGCAAGCGUUGUCCGGAAUUAUUGGGCGUAAAGAGCUCGUAGGCGGUUUGUCACGUCCGCUGUGAAAAUCCAAGGCUCAACCUUGGACUUGCAGUGGGUACGGGCAGGCUAGAGUGCGGUAGGGGAGAUGGGAAUUCCCGGUGUAGCGGUGGAAUGCGCAGAUAUCAGGAGGAACACCAAUGGCGAAGGCACAUCUCUGGGCCGUAACUGACGCUGAGGAGCGAAAGCGUGGGGAGCAAACAGGAUUAGAUACCCUGGUAGUCCACGCCGUAAACGGUGGGUGCUAGCUGUGGGCCACAUUCCACGUGGUCCGUAACGAAGUUAACACAUUAAGCACCCCGCCUGGGGAGUACGGCCGCAAGGCUAAAACUCAAAGGAAUUGACGGG
rnacentral:rRNA from 1 species